rnacentral:rRNA from 1 species
AGCCACCUUCGGGUGGAGUACAGUGGCAGACGGGUGAGUAACGCGUGGGAACGCGCCUUUCGGUUCGGGAUAACCCAGGGAAACUUGGGCUAAUACCGGAUACGCCCUCCGGGGUAAAGAUUCAUCGCCGAAAGAUCGGCCCGCGUCGGAUUAGCUAGUUGGUGGGGUAAUAGCCUACCAAGGCGACGAUCCGUAGCUGGUCUGAGAGGAUGACCAGCCACACUGGGACUGACACACGGCCCAGACUCCUACGGCAGGCAGCAGUGGGAAAUUUUGCGCAAUGGGCGAAAGCCUGACGCAGCAACGCCGCGUGAAGGAUGAAGGCUCUCUGAA